CCGUGCGCGGCGAUCCCCCUCCAAUGGCAGGCAGGGGGGGCGGGGAGCGCGGCGGCUGCAGGGGGACGUGAGGCCCGUGAGCUCCGUGCGGCGGUGGCGGGUGUCGGGCGUGAGAUUAAAAAAGAACAGCAUCCUUCCCAAGCCCUGAGCCAUGAGAAACUCCCUGCCCAGAACUGAAGGGACAGCUGCAGUACAGCUGGAGAGGAGGAUUCACAAGUGACUGACACAUAUCUGAGCUCAGCUGAGGGGGCACACUUGCAGUUAACGCCUCUGGAAAAAAAGACACAUGAAGAAAUGGUCCAGACAUCCAGGUCAAGCCCUUCGUUUGACCCUCAGCGAACACUUUGACUCCUGCCUGUAAAACAAAGCUGCAGGUGAUUUCCUGCUCUAUCAUGCUCAUGAAACCUGGCUCCUAAAGAAGCGCAUGGAAAGCCUCACUGGAAGAGCAGCAGAGUGAUUUCAACAUGCGCUGCAUGCUGUGCACUGUGAAAAGAGCUUGCCUUCAGGCACAGCAGCACCAAGAACCAGCACUACAGGUUCACUCCCAGAGUGAACUCUCCAAUGUUUCCAAAGGAACUUCUAGCCUGGAGGAGCACAAGGUGUGGGAUCAGAGAUGUCCCUUUACUUCAGCAGUCCCCCUAGAUACAGACUGAUGAAGCGUGUGACUGUUCUGUGCCAUCCACUCCAUGAACUUUAAGAACUGUCACUCUAGUUUAAUUGGUGGCCUGCUUUCACAACACAAGGGGCAGUUCCUUUCCUGGAAGCCAGAUCUCUGUUCUCUGCAGCAGAUCUUCUAUUUCAUGAUGGCACUGAAAAGCGCAGAGACACACUGACAGCAAAUAAGCUUGAACACAAGAAUGAAAUGUGCCUUUAUCCUCUUACGUCACAGUUCUCCAUAGCAAAAGGGAAUUAGUUAGCCUCCUCAACUACACCUGCUCAUCAACAUGGAGUUCAUAAUAUUAACUCUUGUUUCUGACAAAGUCCCCAGUCUCUGGGGGAACUGAACACUGAAGCAAACCGGCAAGCAGAGCAGUUUGCCGUGGGUCUGUUUGACCAACAUCAUCUCCACAUUUGGUUCUGCUCUGAGGAGUCCUCCCUACCAGCCUCUAUCACACAGCUUCUCCUAGAAGUCACUUAAAGCCCGUGUUUUAGACAAAGCACUGGGCUAGGAAAUCCACGGAUGCUUUCACCUGAGCACCCAGGACAUUACCUGGAGUGAUUUAGCAGUCCUUCGCUGUUUGUACUUCUGGUAAUAUACUGUUCUGCUGAAUAUGACUAUAAUAGUUUCAAAAACUUGCUCACUUACUAUGAGAAUGGCUACAAAGCAGGCCAGUGUAGUAUUCCAGUCUCCACUAGGUGUGGCAGCUGCUUUCCCAACCAGCACACUGUAAAAUAUGAAGUCUCCAAGGCCCAGUUUCACACCUCCUGCAAGAAGUGGAAGGGAAAGAAAACAAGUCUUACUUCUCCUGUUUGGUUUCCUCCUUUUUUGUUUUCUCCUGAGCCAAGUCUUGUUACCUUGGGACCAAGUGAAGGUUGCUAUUCCUGGCUACCAACCAAGAUGAACCUCUUGCAUUCUGCUCAGAGGCAGAAGGGAUUACCUCCACGGAUUACUGAGGAAGCCAAGGCCAAGGCUUCCAACACUUCCUCGUGCUGCCCUCCAGCUGAAGAAGCAUGGAGACAGAAAGGAAGGGGAUGGAAUGGGAUGAAGGAACCGCUUAAGGUGUCUUGCAUAGCCAAAGGGUGGAGGUACUCAGGUAGCAGAGCAAAAAAGUGGAUGAGUAGGAGAACAGCCAUUUAUGAGAAAAGUUCUGCCCUGAAUCACACUGACGUUGGAGUUGGCUGAUCACACACAGAUCUCAGGACAAAUCCUUCAGACAGUCUCAAGCCACAAGAAGUCAGCAGACCUGUUCAUAUGACUGAGAAAACUUUGAGUUAAUACCACUCUGCACUGCCUGAAGCCAAUGAUAAAUCAAUAAGGACUUCAGCUGAAAUAAGAUACAUCACCAAAUCCUAAGGGCCCAAUUUUGCAUUAUUCAGUCUUCUGGCUUCUGAAGAAUUACUGGAGGUUUCCUGAUGUGCAGAUCUGGUCAUCAGCUUGAGGGAGAGGAGAUGGGAAAAGGAGUGGAAGAAAAAUAAAACCAGUGAAAAUUUAGAAGUCUCAGUGAGACUGAGCAGCAAGAGCCCCUGGCAUGGGUCUCAAGGGCUUUGGGAAGGUUUCCACUCAGCACUGCAAGUAACAUGGAUCUUUCAGCUCUGUCAUUACAUCAGUUUUCAAAAGCGUUUGCAAAACUUGGACUCAUGCAAAGCAUCUGACGGUGUCCCACACAGCAUCCUGACCUCUAAACUGGAGAGAUGGAUUUGAUGGAUGGUCCACUCAACACAAAGGUUUGGCUGCAUGGUUGCACUCAGAGUUAUGGUCAAUGACCAUAUGACCUAGUCAGUGGUCCAGGUGGUGACCAGUGGUAAAUGGUGCUCCUCAAAGUUCAGUGCUGGGAUCAGUAGUGUUUAACAUCUUUGUCAGUGACGUGGGCAGUAGGACUGUAUGUUCAAUUGGCAGGUUUGCAGAUGACACCAAGCUGUGUGAUGCUGACAACAAAUUGGAGGGAAGGGAUGCCAUCCAGAGAGACCCGAACAGCCUGGAGUGGUGGGCCUAUGUGAGCAUCAUGAAGUCCAACAAAGCCAACUUCAAUGUCCUGCAUAUGGGUCAGGGCAAUCCCAAUAGUAAAAACAGAUUGGGUGAUGUGUGAAUAGAGAGCAGCCCCGUGGAGAAGGAUUUUUGGGGUGCUGGUGAAUGGAGAGCUCAACAAGAGCCAGAAAUCUGCACUUGCAGCCCAAAAGGCCAAGUAUAUCCAAGUAUAUCAAGAAACAUGUCCAGCAGGUUAAGGGAGGUGAUUGUUCCCCUCUUCUUCAUUCUUGUGAGGCCCAACUUACAGCACUGCAUUCAGCUUUAGAACCUCACAAGGAAGAUGUGAAGUUGUUAGAGUGAGUGGGUCUGAAGAAGGCCACAAAGAUAUCAGAAAGCUGGAUCACCUCUCCUAAGGAGACAGGCUGAGGGAGCUGGACUUGUUCAGCCUGGAGAAGAGAAAGCUCCAGAGGGAUCUCAGUGUGGUCUUCCAGUACCUAAAGCGAGCCUAUGAGAAGGCUGGAGAGGGAUACUUUAUCAGGGAGCGUAGCAGUAGAACAAAGAAUAAGAGCUUUAAACUAAAAGAGGGGAGAUUUAGGUUAGAUUCUUUACUCAGACAGUGGUGAGACCCUGGCACUGCUGCCCAGAGCUGUGGUGCCCCAUCCCUGGAGGCACUCAAGGCCAGGUUGUAUGGGGCUCUAGGUAGCCUGAGCUGGUGGGAGGUGUUCCUGAUGAUGGCAAGGGGGGUGGAACUGGAUGGUGUUUUCCAACCCAAACCAUUCUGUGAUUCUUUGAUAUACAAGGGAUGUCUUGGCCCAGUUUGCUGACCAGGAUAGCUUCUAUGAACUUCAUUCUAUGAACUUUUAUGAACUUCAUCAGCACCAUUGCACCACUUUCUUAAGUGCUAAAGCACUCUCUAACAGUCUUUUUUGAAGGUUUUAAGUCUGAAUGUGCUCGUGAGAUGUUCCUUCCUAAAUCAGGGCCCUGCCUCACACAGGGGCUGUUCCUGCAAAGAAUCAAGAUUUUCUCUUGUCUUACUUGAAAUUCUGUUCCACCAACCAUAAUAAAUCAUGGCCUGAACCAUUUUCCCUCCGCAUCUCUUUCUGAAACAAGAAAAUAGGUAGACAGUUCUCUGAUUACCACUGUUGACACAAAUGGCUCCUCAUUAGAUCCUCUAGUUCUUGUUCAGCCCCAUCCAUCAUCUUCACUGGGCAGAAGAGCUGUUCAGUAAACUGCCUCUUAGUGCUGGAUGGGUCUAUAAGGAUAAACACAAGACAUGUCAUUGUUUCAACAUUCUGUUCUUUUCAGGAAAUAUCAGAAAUGUGAAACAGAAGGAAAUAAAGUGUGUUGUUAUUGGAUUUUUAAAUUUUGUUUUUAAUAAAAUAUACUUGAAAUUCAGUUAAAAAAUGACCCUUAGGAGAGUUAAAGAAAUUUGGUUCUGUAGUUAAGAAAAAAAGUAUCUCUGCCAACAAAUGAUGGGUGUUUCCAGAAUACUGUUUCUCCGAUUGGGAAGGGUCAUUCCAAAGCAUUCCUCUGGCAGCUUUUAGUAGUACUUCUCACUGAGGAAGGUACUCUUAGUCAGGACAAGGCUGUUCUCAGCCAGCAGCAGAGAAUGUAAGGGAACCAGCAAGUCUCUAACAUUUUGUUACAGGGAGAUGCAUGUGUUAAGUACCUUGGAGGUAUUCCCUUCCCACUCCUUGUAAAUCAUCUCUGAAUAAAAGCUUUGCUCUCAUGCAGUAUCUUUCACCUUUUCCAAAGGUGAAUCUUUUAGAUGUGUUCCAUCAGAGACGAAUAACUCAGACAAUUCAGAAGCAACCUGGAAACGCUUGGAAUUAGAGGAGUCUUGUCCCAUACUUACCAGAUAGGGCAGGUGUGAGGGCAGCAAAGAAAACUCUGCUGUGUUGCUGAUUUGCUGCAGAUGGGUGAGGCAGUUAGAGGGCAAUGCACAGCUCCGAGGAUGGAUGUCUCCAGAGCUGGGCAGGGAGCAGCAGGGACAUAGGGCUCUGAGUACUAGUUGGUGCUAGUACAGGCUGUGGAUGGAAAACUGCUCUUGGUGCUAUCCAAAAAAACACAGGCUGUGCCAGCAAGGGAGACAGCAAGGGAGUGUUGGAGACAGCCAACACGUUUUGUUUUAAAUUAAAUGCCCACAUAGCAGUAUGGGCUUUAAAUUGCUAAUUAUGGCCACUUCAAUGCCCUCUCUUUACCAGUUUCUCAGAAGAGAGAUCCUUCAUCACAGAGUGGAAACUUGGGCAGCAUUUCUUGUGAUUUCAUGUUCAUGUAGGUGCAGUGGAAUUUCAUGGCCCUGGACACUGCACGUCCUGCUGUGUACUACGAAACCCAAAGCAGUCACACAGACACACUGUACAUUCAAUAAAUAGCUUAUCUUUUUUCCUGCCGCUAUCGUAUCUAUCUCAAACAAACGCAAAGCUGCCCAAUUAUGGCCAUGUGGUCACAGCCUAGUGGAAUAAGUACGACCCACAAGUAGGAAAAACCUCUUCAAACAAUGAAGCAGUACAUCUAUGCAGCCGUUUUAUCCCCACAACCGCAGAACGAGGUACAACUUUUAAUAGCCUCAGGGUUCAGCUGGGAUGGAUUUCCCUUUGUUGUUUCAUUUUUACUGAAGUUCAGUAACAAUGCAGAGUUCAUGUGCUCCUCGUGCUUCUUGUUUGGUCUGUGCAAAAAAAAAAAA